rnacentral:rRNA from 1 species
UACGUAGGGUGCGAGCGUUAAUCGGAAUUACUGGGCGUAAAGCGUGCGCAGGCGGUUCGUUAUGUCCGUUGUGAAAGCCCCGGGCUCAACCUGGGAACUGCAUCCGAAACUGCCUUGCUCGAGUAUGGGAGAGGGAAGUGGAAUUUCCGGUGUAGCGGUGAAAUGCGCAGAUAUCGGGGAGGAACACCAGUAGCGAAGGCGGCUCGCUGGGCCAUUCCUGACGCUGAGACGCGAAAGCUAGGGGAGCGAACAGG